rnacentral:rRNA from 1 species
GCAUAUCAAUAAGCGGAGGAAAAGAAACCAACAGGGAUUGCCUCAGUAACGGCGCAGUGAAGCGUGCAACAGCUCAAAUUUGAAAUCUGGUCACCUCACGGAGGCCCGAGUUGUAAUUUGAAGAGGAUGCUUUUGGCGAGGUGCCUUCCGAGUGCCCUGGAACGGGACGCCACAGAGGGUGAGAGCCCCGUAUGGUUGGACGCCGAGCCUAUGUAAAGCUCCUUCGACGAGUCGAGUAGUUUGGGAAUGCUGCUCAAAAUGGGAGGUAAACCCCUUCUAAAGCUAAAUAUUGGCCAGAGACCGAUAGCGCACAAGUAGAGUGAUCGAAAGAUGAAAAGCACUUUGAAAAGAGAGUUAAAAAGCACGUGAAAUUGUUGAAAGGGAAGCGCUUGCGACCAGACUUGCGCCCGUCGGAUCAACCGUCGCUUGUCGGCGGCUCACUCCGGCGGGCUCAGGCCAGCAUCAGUUUCCCCGGGGGGAGAAAGGCGGUGGGAAUGUAGCUCCUAGGAGUGUUAUAGCCCGCCGCGUAAUACCUUCGGGGGGACUGAGGACCGCGCAUCUGCAAGGAUGCUGGCGUAAUGGUUGUCAGCGACCCGUCUUGAAACACGGACCAAGGAGUCGUCCUAAUAUGCGAGUGUACGGGUGUCAAACCCCUGCGCGGAAUGAAAGUAAACGGAGGUGAGAGCUUCGGCGCAUCAUCGACCGAUCCUGAUGUUCUCGGAUGGAUUUGAGUAAGAGCAUAUUGGGCCGGACCCCGAAAGAAGGUGAACUAUGCCUGUAUAGGGGUGAAGCCAGAGGAAACUCUGGUGGAGGCUCGCAGCGGUUCUGACGUGCAAAUCGAUACGUCAAAUCAUGGGCAUGGGGGCGAAAGACUAAUCGAACCUUCUAGUAGCUGGUUCCCGCCGAAAC